UGGAGGGUAGCUCAAUCGGCAGAGCAGCACCCUGUUAAGGUGACGGUUGUGGGUUCGAGUCCCACCCCUCCAG
rnacentral:tRNA from 1 species